rnacentral:rRNA from 1 species
CAAUAGCGUAUAUUAAAGUUGUUGCAGUUAAAAAGCUCGUAGUUGAACUUCAGACCUGGCCGGGCGGUCUGCCUAACGGUAUGUACUGUCUGGCUGGGUCUUACCUCUUGGUGAGCCGGCAUGCCCUUUACUGGGUGUGUCGGGGAACCAGGACUUUUACCUUGAGAAAAUUAGAGUGUUCAAAGCAGGCCUAUGCCUGAAUACAUUAGCAUGGAAUAAUAAAAUAGGACGUGCGGUUCUAUUUUGUUGGUUUCUAGAGUCGCCGUAAUGAUUAAUAGGGAUAGUUGGGGGCAUUAGUAUUCAGUUGCUAGAGGUGAAAUUCUUGGAUUUACUGAAGACUAACUACUGCGAAAGCAUUUGCCAAGGAUGUUUUCAUUGA